rnacentral:rRNA from 1 species
AUUGAACGCUGGCGGCAGGCUUAACACAUGCAAGUCGAACGAUGAAGAUAUAGCUUGCUAUAUCGGAUUAGUGGCGGACGGGUGAGUAACACUUAGGAAUCUACCUUUUAGCGGGGGAUAGCUCGGGGAAACUCGAAUUAAUACCGCAUAAUUUCUACGGAAUAAAGGGGGCUUUUAGCUCUCACUAGAAGAUGAGCCUAAGUAAGAUUAGCUAGUUGGUGGGGUAAAAGCCUACCAAGGCGACGAUCUUUAGCUGGUCUGAGAGGAUGACCAGCCACACUGGGACUGAGACACGGCCCAGACUCCUACGGGAGGCAGCAGUGGGGAAUAUUGGACAAUGGGGGCAACCCUGAUCCAGCCAUGCCGCGUGUGUGAAGAAGGCCUUUUGGUUGUAAAGCACUUUAAGCAGUGAAGAAGACCUAUUGGUUAAUACCCAAUAGCGAUGACAUUAACUGCAGAAUAAGCACCGGCUAACUCUGUGCCAGCAGCCGCGGUAAUACAGAGGGGCAAGCGUUAAUCGGAAUUACUGGGCGUAAAGCGAGCGUAGGUGGUUAAAUAAGUCAGAUGUGAAAGCCCUGGGCUCAACCUAGGAACGGCAUCUGAAACUAUUUAACUAGAGUAGGUGAGAGGGAAGUAGAAUUUCGUGUAGCGGUGAAAUGCGUAGAGAUCUGAAGGAAUACCGAUGGCGAAGCAGCUUCCUGGCAUCAUACUGACACUGAGGCUCGAAAGCGUGGUAGCAAACAGG